rnacentral:rRNA from 1 species
CAGUAGCCGCGGUAAUACGUAGGGUGCAAGCGUUAUCCGGAAUUAUUGGGCGUGAAGAGCUCGUAGGCGGUUUGUCGCGUCUGCUGUGAAAACUGGAGGCUCAACCUCCAGCCUGCAGUGGGUACGGGCAGACUAGAGUGCGGUAGGGGAGAUUGGAAUUCCUGGUGUAGCGGUGGAAUGCGCAGAUAUCAGGAGGAACACCGAUGGCGAAGGCAGAUCUCUGGGCCGUAACUGACGCUGAGGAGCGAAAGCGUGGGGAGCGAACAGGAUUAGAUACCCCGGUAGUCCCUGUCUCUUAUAC